GUGUCAGCAGCCGCGGUAAUACGGAGGGGGCUAGCGUUGUUCGGAAUUACUGGGCGUAAAGCGCACGUAGGCGGAUCGGAAAGUUGGGGGUGAAAUCCCGGGGCUCAACCCCGGAACUGCCUUCAAAACUGUCGGUCUUGAGUUCGAGAGAGGUGAGUGGAAUUCCGAGUGUAGAGGUGAAAUUCGUAGAUAUUCGGAGGAACACCAGUGGCGAAGGCGGCUCACUGGCUCGAUACUGACGCUGAGGUGCGAAAGUGUGGGGAGCAAACAGGAUUAGAUACCCUGGUAGUCCACACCGUAAACGAUGAAUGCCAGUCGUCGGCAAGCAUGCUUGUCGGUGACACACCUAACGGAUUAAGCAUUCCGCCUGGGGAGUACGGCCGCAAGGUUAAAACUUAAAUGAAUUGGCGGGG
rnacentral:rRNA from 1 species